CCAGCCUGCCGCGUGCAGGAUGAAGGCCUUCGGGUUGUAAACUGCUUUUGUACAGAACGAAAAGGUCUCGGUUAAUACCUGGGGCCCAUGACGGUACUGUAAGAAUAAGCACCGGCUAACUACGUGCCAGCAGCCGCGGUAAUA
rnacentral:rRNA from 1 species